CCUACGGGAGGCAGCAGUGGGGAAUAUUGCACAAUGGGCGAAAGCCUGAUGCAGCAACGCCGCGUGAGUGAUGAAGGCCUUCGGGUCGUAAAACUCUGUCCUCAAGGAAGAUAAUGACGGUACUUGAGGAGGAAGCCCCGGCUAACUACGUGCCAGCAGCCGCGGUAAUACGUAGGGGGCUAGCGUUAUCCGGAUUUACUGGGCGUAAAGGGUGCGUAGGCGGUCUUUCAAGUCAGGAGUGAAAGGCUACGGCUCAACCGUAGUAAGCUCUUGAAACUGGGAGACUUGAGUGCAGGAGAGGAGAGUGGAAUUCCUAGUGUAGCGGUGAAAUGCGUAGAUAUUAGGAGGAACACCAGUUGCGAAGGCGGCUCUCUGGACUGUAACUGACGCUGAGGCACGAAAGCGUGGGGAGCAAACAGGAUUAGAUACCCUGGUAGUCCACGCUGUAAACGAUGAGUACUAGGUGUCGGGGGUUACCCCCCUCGGUGCCGCAGCUAACGCAUUAAGUACUCCGCCUGGGAAGUACGC
rnacentral:rRNA from 1 species